UGGGGAAUAUUGGACAAUGGGCGCAAGCCUGAUCCAGCCAUGCCGCGUGUGUGAAGAAGGCCUUUUGGUUGUAAAGCACUUUAAGCGAGGAGGAGGCUACUUGGAUUAAUACUCUAGGAUAGUGGACGUUACUCGCAGAAUAAGCACCGGCUAACUCUGUGCCAGCAGCCGCGGUAAUACAGAGGGUGCGAGCGUUAAUCGGAUUUACUGGGCGUAAAGCGUGCGUAGGCGGCUUCUUAAGUCGGAUGUGAAAUCCCUGAGCUUAACUUAGGAAUUGCAUUCAAUACUGGGAAGCUAGAGUAUGGGAGAGGAUGGUAGAAUUCCAGGUGUAGCGGUGAAAUGCGUAGAGAUCUGGAGGAAUACCGAUGGCGAAGGCAGCCAUCUGGCCUAAUACUGACGCUGGGGUACGAAAGCAUGGGGGGCAAACAGG
rnacentral:rRNA from 1 species